AUUGAACGCUGGCGGCAUGCUUUACACAUGCAAGUCGAACGGUAACAGGCCUUCGGGUGCUGACGAGUGGCGAACGGGUGAGUAAUGCAUCGGAACGUGCCCAGAGGUGGGGGAUAACGCAGCGAAAGCUGUGCUAAUACCGCAUGUGAUCUGAGGAUGAAAGCGGGGGACCAGGCAGCAAUGUUUGGCCUCGCGCCUUUGGAGCGGCCGAUGUCAGAUUAGGUAGUUGGUGGGGUAAAGGCCUACCAAGCCGACGAUCUGUAGCUGGUCUGAGAGGACGACCAGCCACACUGGGACUGAGACACGGCCAAGACUCCUACGGGAGGCAGCAGUGGGGAAUUUUGGACAAUGGGCGCAAGCCUGAUCCAGCAAUGCCGCGUGCGGGAAGAAGGCCUUCGGGUUGUAAACCGCUUUUGUACGGAACGAAAAGGCUCUGGCUAAUACCUGGGGAUGAUGACGGUACCGUAAGAAUAAGCACCGGCUAACUACGUG
rnacentral:rRNA from 1 species